CCUCCUUAAACUCUCUUUCUAUCCUCAUGCCUUCUCUUCUUUGAACACCAGACUAAGGUCUGCAAACUUAACUUGAAAGCUAGAAAAGAGUCCUUGAAAUGUGAAAUCAGAGGACUGGAGCCAUCAGACCAAAACUAACAUUGAGCGCAAUAUAUUAAACAAGAUACGUAACCUAUUUAUGUGUAUCCGUAGCAUAUCUGAAAAAUAUUUCUGGAAAACACCACAGCACAAUCUUGCCACACAUAAUUGUGUGACGUAUAUCUGGAAAUAGAUGUUUUAUUAAUACUGUGGUUUUCCUUACCUUAAAGCCGCAUUCACUGCUAUUUUCUUUGUAACCUCUUUCAUUUAAAUAAGAUACAGGGUCUAUUUUCUAUAUCUUUGUUUAGAGGCUACAGAUAUUAUUACCCUUAAUUACUUCCCUAUGUGGCUUUAAAUUGAAAUUACCUCUAUAAUUACUUUCCCCUGAAAUUUCUAUGGUGAAAUUCUGCAAGUAAAUGUUGAUGGCUUCUAAAUGAAGACAUUUGGUCUGUGCUGUAAUCAUCAAGCAGGUUUCGAAGAGUGUAUUAAAGAAUUGCAGAACGUGAAGAGGUAGGAGCUAAUGAGGAAGACCAGAAAAUUUUUCAUAACGUAAAGCUACUGUACUACUGUCUAUAUCUGAACAUUACAGUUGGACUCCUACCUUCUCCCUUUAAACCUGAAAUUCAUUUGAUAUAUGCUAUCAUUCUAUACAGAAUAGAGAAAGACUUGUAAAAAUAUGUGUUUCCAGGUUAACUGGGUUAUGAAGAAAUAAAGAAGAUAACCAGAAGUAUCUUUACAAAGUGCUGACAUUCCAGAAAAAAAAAAA